UGAAAGUGUGUGAUUUUUUUCUUUUCAAUGUGAGGGUUUUUAAAGCUUGAAUUUGAAGGACCAUCCAGUUUUAUUAAAAUCGAGAGCCACUUGAAACCAGGGGAUGUGUCCUGUCCUGCAUAUUUAUGUGCAGUGUGCAGAGUUCUGUCCUGAGGAGGAAAGGAGAGGUGGACAGAAAGGGAGGGCACAGGCAGCAAGUUUAGCCGGAGCUACCAGAACUGCUACCUACACAAAAAACUGCUUUCACUUGCCACCGCUCCCCAGGCAAUACACAGGAUACAAAAUGCAUGCUGAAGAAUUUGUGAAGUAAUAAGAUGUCCAGUAUUUGCUUCUAAAUAAUCUAUUGGGCAGAGACAGAGGCAGGCAGCACGUGAGUAAAGUGAGAGGAAGUGGAAGAGAACAAUGACGGGAAUGGAGGAAUGAAGAGGUGAGUCCCAACAUGGGAGAAAGAAAAGAAUGGACCUUGAAGCUUUUGCUGGUGGAUGAAGAAGAAAAACUCUGUACCCAGCACAUGUUUGGCCACGUGACACGAGCAAAGAUCAAGGAAUUUAACCUUUGAUAUGAGUCAUCUAAAACAAUACAGACAGCAAGACUACCCAUCACAGCCUCUGGAAAAGGCACCUGACUAGACAAGCUUUUGCCUGAUGGAUGUGGACUAAUCCCAAAGAACAAAUGUUUCAUUGUGAAUUAUGUUUUGACCAUAUACCAACAGUUGACAGCAUUUAAAGAGCUGCAGAGGUUUUUAAAGAGUUUUUCAAAUGUUCUCAUCACAGAACUCUCCAAGGGCAGACAUACAUUUCAAAAACAACACGCUGAAGAAAACAUACACAUACACACAUACACACACACUGGCCCAAACAUAGUAAAACGUGAUCACAAAAACAAUAACUCUUGGUAAAUUUAACCAGUUAGAUUUAAUUCUUUGUUGACCUUUCUCCACACAAACAUCCUACUAUUGGUCUUAACAUCUAACCAAGCCCCAGUUUAUACAGUAAGAAAUCGGAUAUUCUAAAAUUCUAUCUUCUCAGAAAUCAGUCUUACAUACAUGAAAUAGGAAUUUUAUCUACUUAGUAAAUGUAUUUUUCUCAACCAAACUUUCUGCCCUAAAAGCACCAAUACCUAUAGAGAACAUAAUAUAGACUCUAAAUCUAGUGUUAUCAUUGGCUCCGCUACCUACCACUUUAGAUAUAUCUUGUAACUGUUUUUGUGAUUGUUUUUGUGAUUUGCCAACAUGGGGUAUAAAAUAAUGCUGAAUCUUU